CCAGAAAAAAAGCAGGUAAGAAGAGGAGGGAAUAGGACUGCCCGCCGCCUCCCGGUUCCCAAGGGAGCCACGGCGGAGGAGGGAAGAGAAAAGGGGAAAGAGGAAGAUGAGGAGGAGAAGCAGAAGGAAGAGGAGGCUCGGCUUGCCUCGCCACCAAACCCUCGCGGUCCGUUUUCCUGGAACAAACUAUCUACAGCUGGGAGACUAAUCAAACACAUUGAAAUUUUGCUGGGGGUGGUUGUUGUUGUCGUUGUUGUUGUUAUUGUUGGAAUCUAGACCUUUUAAACAAAUGUGUAUAAAUAAACGAAUUGUUAGUAACUUGGCUAUUGAUCUGGAGACAAAUGGACUCUUAAAGGAGUCCUACACUCAUGUAAUGGGUAACUUCCCACAGGCACUUUAUUUUCCUAUUUCAAAAGCUUAAACCUCGACUGGCACAGAUAAACUGUGCUUUCUGUUUAUGUUACUGUUUAUACAUCUAUGGCUUGUAUCUAUCAUCUGAUAACAAACUAUUCAUUAGAAGAGAGGAAAAGGCUUCACAGAAGCCCAGUCCCUAUCUUAGCUUUCUUUUUAUUGGUGAAUCACCUUUAUAAUAAAGGCUCUCAAUGUUU